AGUGAACGCUGGCGGUAGGCCUAACACAUGCAAGUCGAACGGCAGCACAGUAAGAGCUUGCUCUUACGGGUUGCGAGUGGCGGACGGGUGAGGAAUACAUCGGACUCUACUUUUUCGUGGGGGAUGACGUAGGGAAACUUACGCUAAUACCGCAUACGACCUACGGUUGGAAGCAGUGGAUCUUCGCACCUUGCGCGAUUGAAUGAGCCGAUGUCGGAUUAGCUAGUUGGCGGGGUAAUGGCCCACCAAGGCGACGAUCCGUAGCUGGUCUGAGAGGAUGGUAGGCCACACUGGAACUGAGACACGGUCAAGACUCCUAAGGGAGGCAGCAGUGGGGAAUAUUGGACAAUGGGCGGAAGCAUGAUCCAGCCAGACCGCGUGGGUGAAGAAGGCCUUCGGGUUGUAAAGACCUUUUGUUGGGAAAGAAAAGCAGCAGGUUAAUACCCCGCUGUUCUGACGGUACCCAAAGAAUAAGCACCGGCUAACUUCGUG
rnacentral:rRNA from 1 species